GGGACACGUGGUAUCCUGUCUGAAUAUGGGGGGACCAUCCUCCAAGGCUAAAUACUCCUGACUGACCGAUAGUGAACCAGUACCGUGAGGGAAAGGCGAAAAGAACCCCGGCGAGGGGAGUGAAAAAGAACCUGAAACCGUGUACGUACAAGCAGUGGGAGCCUCUUAAUGGGGUGACUGCGUACCUUUUGUAUAAUGGGUCAGCGACUUAUAUUCUGUAGCAAGGUUAACCGAAUAGGGGAGCCGAAGGGAAACCGAGUCUUAACUGGGCGUUAAGUUGCAGGGUAUAGACCCGAAACCCGGUGAUCUAGCCAUGGGCAGGUUGAAGGUUGGGUAACACUAACUGGAGGACCGAACCGACUAAUGUUGAAAAAUUAGCGGAUGACUUGUGGCUGGGGGUGAAAGGCCAAUCAAACCGGGAGAUAGCUGGUUCUCCCCGAAAGCUAUUUAGGUAGCGCCUCGUGAAUUCAUCUCCGGGGGUAGAGCACUGUUUCGGCAAGGGGGUCAUCCCGACUUACCAACCCGAUGCAAACUGCGAAUACCGGAGAAUGUUAUCACGGGAGACACACGGCGGGUGCUAACGUCCGUCGUGAAGAGGGAAACAACCCAGACCGCCAGCUAAGGUCCCAAAGUCAUGGUUAAGUGGGAAACGAUGUGGGAAGGCCCAGACAGCCAGGAUGUUGGCUUAGAAGCAGCCAUCAUUUAAAGAAAGCGUAAUAGCUCACUGGUCGAGUCGGCCUGCGCGGAAGAUGUAACGGGGCUAAACCAUGCACCGAAGCUGCGGCAGCGACGCUUAUGCGUUGUUGGGUAGGGGAGCGUUCUGUAAGCCUGUGAAGGUGGCCUGUGAGGGUUGCUGGAGGUAUCAGAAGUGCGAAUGCUGACAUAAGUAACGAUAAAGCGGGUGAAAAGCCCGCUCGCCGGAAGACCAAGGGUUCCUGUCCAACGUUAAUCGGGGCAGGGUGAGUCGACCCCUAAGGCGAGGCCGAAAGGCGUAGUCGAUGGGAAACAGGUUAAUAUUCCUGUACUUGGUGUUACUGCGAAGGGGGGACGGAGAAGGCUAUGUUGGCCGGGCGACGGUUGUCCCGGUUUAAGCGUGUAGGCUGGUUUUCCAGGCAAAUCCGGAAAAUCAAGGCUGAGGCGUGAUGACGAGGCACUACGGUGCUGAAGCGACAAAUGCCCUGCUUCCAGGAAAAGCCUCUAAGCAUCAGGUAACAUCAAAUCGUACCCCAAACCGACACAGGUGGUCAGGUAGAGAAUACCAAGGCGCUUGAGAGAACUCGGGUGAAGGAACUAGGCAAAAUGGUGCCGUAACUUCGGGAGAAGGCACGCUGAUAUGUAGGUGAAGCGACUUGCUCGUGGAGCUGAAAUCAGUCGAAGAUACCAGCUGGCUGCAACUGUUUAUUAAAAACACAGCACUGUGCAAACACGAAAGUGGACGUAUACGGUGUGACGCCUGCCCGGUGCCGGAAGGUUAAUUGAUGGGGUUAGCGGUAACGCGAAGCUCUUGAUCGAAGCCCCGGUAAACGGCGGCCGUAACUAUAACGGUCCUAAGGUAGCGAAAUUCCUUGUCGGGUAAGUUCCGACCUGCACGAAUGGCGUAAUGAUGGCCAGGCUGUCUCCACCCGAGACUCAGUGAAAUUGAACUCGCUGUGAAGAUGCAGUGUACCCGCGGCAAGACGGAAAGACCCCGUGAACCUUUACUAUAGCUUGACACUGAACAUUGAGCCUUGAUGUGUAGGAUAGGUGGGAGGCUUUGAAGUGUGGACGCCAGUCUGCAUGGAGCCGACCUUGAAAUACCACCCUUUAAUGUUUGAUGUUCUAACGUGGGCCCCUUACCGGGGUUGCGGACAGUGUCUGGUGGGUAGUUUGACUGGGGCGGUCUCCUCCUAAAGAGUAACGGAGGAGCACGAAGGUUGGCUAAUCCUGGUCGGACAUCAGGAGGUUAGUGCAAUGGCAUAAGCCAGCUUGACUGCGAGCGUGACGGCGCGAGCAGGUGCGAAAGCAGGUCAUAGUGAUCCGGUGGUUCUGAAUGGAAGGGCCAUCGCUCAACGGAUAAAAGGUACUCCGGGGAUAACAGGCUGAUACCGCCCAAGAGUUCAUAUCGACGGCGGUGUUUGGCACCUCGAUGUCGGCUCAUCACAUCCUGGGGCUGAAGUAGGUCCCAAGGGUAUGGCUGUUCGCCAUUUAAAGUGGUACGCGAGCUGGGUUUAGAACGUCGUGAGACAGUUCGGUCCCUAUCUGCCGUGGGCGCUGGAGAACUGAGGGGGGCUGCUCCUAGUACGAGAGGACCGGAGUGGACGCAUCACUGGUGUUCGGGUUGUCAUGCCAAUGGCACUGCCCGGUAGCUAAAUGCGGAAGAGAUAAGUGCUGAAAGCAUCUAAGCACGAAACUUGCCCCGAGAUGAGUUCUCCCUGAGACUUAGAGUCUCCUGAAGGAACGUUGAAGACGACGACGUUGAUAGGCCGGGUGUGUAAGCGCAGCGAUGCGUUGAGCUAACCGGUACUAAUGAACCGUGAGGCUUAACCUUACAACGCCGAAG
rnacentral:rRNA from 1 species